AGCAGAGGGGGUUUCAGACCAAGCUGCCUUCAUGAGAGCUGAAUCAGACCCUGUAGUCUUCUGCACACAUUCAUAAACCCUCCAUAACCACAGCUUGGUCUCAUAACUCCACAUAAAAACCUUUGGAAGUUCGAUCUGAUGAAGAGAAUCACUUUGCACGUUCUGCCCGAACCUCCACAUCUGGCUGAGGCUACAGAAAGUUGAUUUCACUUUACGCACACAUGGAUUGAACUACUCCCCCUCUGGCUGUUUGGGUUUGUGAAGCUGCACAGCUGCAACUUGUCAGAAACAUCCCUGACACGUGGCAAAACAUCACCAGAAAGCCAUGACAGGGGUUUGGUGUUUCAGAUCCAGCGAAAGACCAAAAGCUAAGUCCAGAUAUUCACAGAUUAUGGCUCAAAUGUCGGCGCUGACAUUUGAAGUUUGGGUAUUUCUGCGUCGUGCGUAAAAGUCCCUUUGUCUGAAAACACCCAGAGUGCUUCGGUGUGAACUCACCCACAGUCGUGACCAGGGUGUUGGCGAAGAACAUGGACGAGGCCAGGUCCCAGUUGGAGGUGACGGAGGAGUUCCUGAGCACGGACACGCCAUACUUGUUGGCCGUCAUCACCUUGACCAGAAAGAGUUCGAGCGACGCGGCGUUGACGCAGCUCUGGUUCAGAAAGUCCUGCUUCAGUACCUCCAUGUCCCGGCGCAGCUUGUCCUCCACCGGCCGCUCGAUGCUGGAGAACACCAGGGCUCCGAACAUCAGGUAGAUGAUGUAGAAGAGGAUGAAGCCUGUCAGCAGCAGCCACGACUUGCCCACAGAAUGCAUGUCUGUGCUUCACUCCGGGAUCAACAUCAGUGAAGCUGCGCACAGAGAUUCACUCCCCGCGUCUGAGGCCACUGUGCCUGCUGCUCUGAGUCAGUGGAAACAGUUUGAGGGGCUGGACCUGAGUGAACUUGAACCCCUCCUUUGUCACAUCAACCUCCUCCCACAGAAGAGGAGGAGGAAGAGGUGGAGGAGGAGGAGGAGGGUGUGUUCAGCUCCGGGUCCUGGAACUGCAUCCUGUUCAGAAUCCGGAUCCGGGAGAAACCUCAGUGAGUCAUGAAGUUAACACAGCGUCAUUUCACUCGAGGACACGUUUCUUUAAUUCAAUGAAAAGUUGGAUGAUCUUCGACAAAAACUUUUUUAAUAGAUUUCACUUCAACAAAAACUUUGACAUCAGUUUGAAAUGAAAAACGAUCAUCCCGUUUGCUCCUCUUGUGAGUCACUUCACUUAAACUUCCACCUUCUUUGUUCUGGUUCAAUCUGACAGACUUGAACAUUUUUAUAUUCAUUUGCAUUUGAAAGUUUUACAACCUUUCCCAGUUUCUGUUGAAACUCAAGGUGUCGAAGUCCAGUGAGAAAACGUCAGUGUCAAUGGUGAACAGACUGAGAAAGAAAAUACAAGUUUAAAGUCAACGAAAGCUGAAAAAUCAUGUAAAUAUAAUGUUGAACGGGCCUUUUCCAGGGAUGAGAAGCUGGUUAAUGUAAAUAUGUUCUACAGCAAUGGAGGGAAAUGAAUCCUUGCACAGGUGAAACUUACAAACUCUGUUCAAAUAUUGGAAUAAACUGUCACUUCCCCAUCAGACCGGUCACUGCUUAAUCCUAAAGGAGAUCAUGACCUGAACCAUGAGCAGAAGAGAAGCAGACGGAGGUUUCACAUGAUGAAGGAGCAGAACAGUCUCAGAUUUAAACCCCACAGAACAGAUCUGUGAGGAUUCAUCCAGGUCACGGCUUCUUCAGGAGUCAUACGAGUUCACAUCUGUAACGUCAGUGCAACACGUUGAUCUUCUGCAGAGGAGCACCGUGUGGUAGAGUGGAGAGAAAGUCCCAUUGUGCUGCUGAGUGGACAAAAGAAUCAGAUUCAACUUGAUGAUUAAAGCUUUUAUUUAUCUCUGUGCUUGGAUCCCAGAGUCACUUCACUGACACUUCACAACUUAUCUGUUGUUGUAUUUCUGUUGCUGACACAGACCUUGGAUCUGUGGAUAAGACGGUGACGUGCAUAUGUUCAUGUGAAUGCAGCCGUCUGCAGGCUUCCUGUGUUUCGGUGGCCUUGCUGCUCCUGGAUGAUCUCUGUGGGUCACAUGAGGCUCGGAGGUGGCUGCACUCAGGACGAGGGACAUGAGGACAAGAAAUCCACGUCUGAAUAGGACAGGAACAGGAAGACGAGAGCCCUGGUGUGGGUCAGAGGUUUCCCACCGGCUCUAAUGCCACUAACAAGAAUGAAAUCACACGGCACGAACACAGAGGGGCUGUAAAGACUCGUGUGAUCACGUCUGUGGUAAAGGUUUGAUAAUAACCCUGAGGAAGCAGCCGUGUGGAAACCUUUUGGUUUCUUCUGUCCCACCCAGUGCAGAACAGGGAGGAGUGGACCAAACAGUGGAUUUGAAGAAUCAUUUCACUUUCAUUCCAUCUGUGUAAAAACCAAGAAUAACCACAAUGCCACCAAAGCUCCAGCUCUUGUUUCCUCUCACAGUCGCAGUACAACUCUCUACUUUCUCCUGAAAGUCAUGACUGUCUAGUUUUUUGAUGUUUAUGUAAAAGGCGGCUGACUCAUGCUGUGUGGACGGCGAGGACGAGCAGUCUGCCCCCCCGCAGCCCUGUUUUCUUCCCCGCACUACAAAGCUGUGUUAUCACAGCUCUGCAGGCAGCUGCUCUGACUCAGCAGAACAAAGACUUUAACUCUUUCUGCACCACAGCCGCCUCAUGUUCAUCCACAUACAGGAUCACACUGAUGAUGCUGGAGUUAUAUAUCGACAUGUAAAGCAGCCGAGCUCUUUAACAUUCCCUGAGUCCUGAACUGUCAAACCUGCGAUGAACGUUAUGGAUCAAUUUCAAUAACUCCUGAGCCCCGAGCACUGUGAUGUGUGAAGAUAUGUGAAGGUGCAGGCAGGGGCUGCAUAAUGAGAGGGGUCCCUCAAGAGCCUCUGAUUCCAUUAGUCCACAGUGACUCAGUGAGCAGCUCCUUGGCUGAAACCUCCUGAUGAGGCCCCGUGAUAUUAGCUCUCUGCAAAAAGCUUUGUAACUUAUGAGGUUUGGUUGAAUGUGUGUGUGAUGUUCCUGUGACCACGGUGGAGGUUUGCACUUCACUGUUGUUUAUGUUCAUGCAAUGUUUAGACCUUGUUCGUAAUUUUGAUA